UGGAGUCAGAAGUGAGAGACAGCAUUAAACCAUCACACCCUCAAACAUGAACGUCCGGCACACUUUGAUCUGCUUCCUCUUCCUCACACUGAGGGAUGGAAACAGUGGGCUCACCAACGCACAAAACCUCGACCGUACAGAAACUGAAGGAGGAAACAUCACAGUUGCAUGCUCCUUUUCUUUCUCUGGAGGAAGGAAGAUGUUCUGUAAGGGAAAAUGUGAAGAAGGAAACAUUCUGGUAGAAACGACCGGAGACUCAGCUCAGAGAGGCCGAUACAGCAUCAGAUAUGUGGAAGGGUCUCUAUUAUCUAACGCAAUUCUGUAUGUGAGCAUCACAAAGCUGACCAAGUCUGACGCAGGACGGUACCAAUGUGGUCUGGACAGAUUUGGAACCGACUCAUACCAGGACUUUGAGAUCAGAGUUAAAGAUGCACUGAGGGAUGGAAACAGUGGGCUCACCAACGCACAAAACCCCCUCCGUACAGAAACUGAAGGAGGAAACAUCACAGUUGCAUGCUCCUUUUCUUUCUCUGGAAAAAGGAAGCUCUUCUGUAAGGGAAAAUGUGAAGAAGGAAACAUUCUGGUAGAAACGACCGGAGACUCAGAACAGAGAGGCAGAUACUGCAUCAGAUAUGUGGGGUCUGUAUUAUCUGUAUAUCUGUAUGUGAGCAUCACAAAGCUGACCAAGUCUGACGCAGGACGGUACCAAUGUGGUAUGGAGGACAGACCUUUCCUCCCUGACUCAUACCAGGACAUUGAGAUCAGAGUUAAAGAUGCUCCAACAUCUUCAAAACCAGAAGUGACUCCCCGACCGUUUUCAACAUCAUCCCCAUCAGCCUCCACACUGACCACCACUCAGAGUCUGAGCUCCAUACCUUCAUCAGCCUCCCCUGAACGCACCACGCAGAGUUUAAGCUCCGUACCUUCAUCAGCCUCCCCUGAACGCACCACGCAGAGUUUAAGCUCCGUACCAUCAUCAGCCUCCCCUGAACGCACCACGCAGCCUCAACAGGGACAGACAGCUUCAGAUGGUCACGGUGUGGUGCUGUAUGUGCGUCUGACUCUGGUCGUCAUGUUCAUCGUACUCUCAGCGUCUGUGCUGAUAUUCUGCUGGAAGAGGGCCAGGAAACCCAGAGAAACUGCUGAUGAAGCUGAGUAUGUCAAUGUCACAGAGGCUAACAGAGUGUGAGGAGGUCAGAGAGGAGGACAGAGGCAGCAGAUCUCCUCCUAUAGAAAUGUCUGUUCUCUCCACUUCCCACUGCAGACACUUCUCAGAAGACAACUGAAGAGGACCUGUGUAAACUCACCUGCGUAAACUCACCUGCUUUGAGGAGGAUGUGUCCCUCCGUGCAGGGUCCUCGCCCCACAGCGCCCCCUGUGGUGAUCCAGAUAACGUCAUCUACUUCGUCCUUUGGGUAGAAACGACUUUGGACACGCAGAAGACGCUUUUUCUCCUCUCUACUCCCCUGUAACUAAAUCAGAUGCUGCUUCAACUCAAUUCAUUUGUAGGGUUUUAAUUAGUAAACAAAAGCUAUUUGGGUUUCACACAGUCUACAUUAAUAAUAAUAAUAAAGCUUUAUUUAUAUAGCAAUUUUCAUACAACACAUGCAGCUCAAAGUGCUUUACAAAAUGUCAAGUCAAAGAAAAAAAAGAAAAAUAUUUCCCCUCAGAUUAUUUGUUAAGAACUUUAAAAGGUGCAUGCAGCAAAAUAUAACAUUUUAUCAGGUUAAUAGACACAAGGAGGUAAAAUGUAUGAUAAUAAAUAAAUAUUGACAGUUCAGACACAAGACAACUAAAUCGAUGCAAUAAUAUAAAAUAUAAAACCCCACAAAACAAAGUGAACAUUUUGGUACAACAGAAAAAAAGAAGAAGAUAA